UACCAUUUUUGAUCUCUGAUGGGCAUGAG
rnacentral:piRNA from 1 species